rnacentral:rRNA from 1 species
GUACCAGACUCCUACGGGAGGCAGCAGUGGGGAAUAUUGGACAAUGGGGGGAACCCUGAUCCAGCGACGCCGCGUGAGUGAAGAAGUAUUUCGGUAUGUAAAGCUCUAUCAGCAGGGAAGAAAGAAAUGACGGUACCUGACUAAGAAGCCCCGGCUAACUACGUGCCAGCAGCCGCGGUAAUACGUAGGGGGCAAGCGUUAUCCGGAUUUAUUGGGUGUAAAGGGUGCGUAGACGGAGAAACAAGUUGGUUGUGAAAUCCCUCGGCUCAACUGAGGAACUGCAACCAAAACUAUUUCCCUUGAGUGUCGGAGAGGAAAGUGGAAUUCCUAGUGUAGCGGUGAAAUGCGUAGAUAUUAGGAGGAACACCAGUGGCGAAGGCGACUUUCUGGACGAUAACUGACGUUGAGGCACGAAAGUGUGGGGAGCAAACAGGAUUAGAUACCCGAGUAU